GGUAGAUAGUUCAGCACUGGAACAUAAGACUUAAUAUGUCUGAAGUCCUGGGUUCAAUCCCCAGUACUACCA
rnacentral:tRNA from 1 species